CAAUACACUAUUUUUAUCCUUUAAAUUCCACUUGGACUAUCGCUUCCUCUAGGUAUAAUAAAAAUUAUACAUUGGGUGAUUUUGUAUUCGUUAUUAAGUGAGCUUUUUCAUUACUGCUUUGUGGAAUUGAAACAACAUAUAUAAAUCUAAAUUGAAAAACUAUACAAGUUUAUAUUCUGCUAUACAAUAUACAAUUCUGCUACAAAUAUUAUUGGGAACAGAAAGUAUGGUUCUUAUAUAUCUACCACAACAUUAUUGUGUCAAAAAUUUGAGGAACAAUUUUUGAUUGUUCGGCUAUGUAUAGAGGGGUAAAAGUAACGAAAAAACGUGUAUCCAUAUGUAUUUAUUUCUAUAACAAUUAAUACUUGUUACGUUACUCAUUACUCCUGAUACCUCAUGACAUGCUAUGUUAUUUUUUUUAUACGGGGUGGACCAUUAGUUUGUGGUGCAUAACUUACUUAAGAUAAAAUAUACAAAAAAAUUUUCAAAUAAAAGUUGUUAUAUUUGCACAGAUACACAUUUCUAAUAUAUUUUGAGAUAUAUAGGGUGUUCAGCCUAAGGACAGGAUACCCUGUAUAUUUGUUUACCAUCGAAUUUAGCGUAAAAUUCUGCAUCUAGCCCUCUCUUUUCUUUUCCCAUAAAUUGUGACGUUGCCAAGUUGGAGCGAAAAAUAUGACGAUUUGGCGAAAAUUGGUACACUAUAAAUGCUGUCUGGUAAACAGAGUAGAAGUUUCGUUUGAGGUUCGGGGUGUUUUUUAGAUAAGCAUUAAAUCAGAAUAUUUCAUAUUUCCAUUUUUUUAAAUGGAACAUCCAGUAUAUUAUUUUACUAUCUAAACAAUUUUAUCCCUUCAAAUUAUGUCUCAUAAUUCUAAAACUUGAUUUAGACCAUUUUUAAGAAAAUUGCAUUUGUAGUUUACGAUUUAAAAAUAUUCACCUUUUUAACAAGUAAACACUAAAUGUGACGUUUAAAAUACUAAAAUAUUGUUUUUGUGACAAAAUCAAACCAGUAAUUUUAUACCUUUAAAAAUUGUAAUAAGAUAAAUAGGGUAUCUACAAAACUCAAAAUAAACAAAAGCUCUACUAGCACGAUGUAACCUAUUGACAUCAGCAGUUCGGAGAACCUCCUUAAUUCUAUUAUUCAUGUCUUACUUAGUAGUCGCGGGUGCUUUGUAAACUUGUUCUUUGUCGUAUCCAACGUCCAGGAAAUUCAUUAUUUAAAUGUGUAUUUAUCAGUUACGUAUGGUAAACUCGUGCACCGUCAUGUAGGUACCACAUUCGCUGCCUAUCAUGAGCAGAUAAUUGCUGAAGUAGUUGAGGUAAUUAGUUUUGUACAAUAUUUAUAUAAACUUGCCCAUUAACAGUUCCGUCAAAGAAAUAUAAGAGUAUGACAUGAUUCCCAAUUAUUCCAUCCCAUACAUUUAAUGACCACUUUGUUGACUGAUAGUCCGUAUACAAUGCGGUUGAUCUGUUGCAUAAUAAUGGACAUUGUGUCAUUCUACAAACCCAUUUUUAUGAAAUUUUGCUUCAUCGGCAAAAUUGAAAAAAUCUGUUUCGCUGAAUUGUUUUCUUGAGCCCAUUAACAGAAGGUUAACCGCUUUUCAAAAUCAUCAUCCAAUAGUUCCUGUAUUCGGUGUAUAUGGUAAGGAUGCAUUUUGUUCUUAGAUAGAAUUUUUUGGACGACAGUACGACUACGUCGGUUUGUUUUGAUAUUUCCCGUGUUGAGAUAUGAGGAUCUCCCGUAAGUUUUGACAUUACGGUCAUCUCGUUGUCCUGUGACAUUGCAUUCUUCGACCUUUCGCUUUUUUCGUAAGCUACACUACCAGUUCUGGUAAAUCGUUGAAGCAAAUUUUCAAAUGUCUCUUUUCUUGGCUGUCUUCUAUCUGGAAAUUUCUGUUGAUAAGUACCUUGUGCAAGUAAACAGUUCUUAUCACUGGCACCCAGUACAAAAAUCAUAUCUGUCAAUUCUUGUAUCAGAAAAUUCAUGAUCUUAAUUGCUUCCUCGUUCUUUGUAAUACGUCAAGAUAAUAACUAAUCACUCUGACUUAAAUUGUGAAAGUCUCAAAUUCACAGGUUACGUGAUAAAACUAUGGAUAAUUUCAUUUAUUGAUAAGGUGACGUGGGUUUAAUUUAGUUUUAUAGAUACCCUAUUUAUUUUAUUAGCUUUGAAAGGUAUAAAAUUACAGGUUUGAUUUUGUCACAAAAAUGUGGUACAUACAUGACGGUGCACCAUACCUAACUGAUCAAUACACAUUUGAAUAAUGAAUUUGCCGGACGAUGGAUACGUCAAAGAACAAGUUUACAAAACACCAGCGACUUCUAAGGAAGACAUGAAGAAUAGAAUUAAGUAGGUUCUCCGAAAUGUUGAUGUCUAUAUGUUACAUCGUGCUAGUAGAGCUUUUGAAGAUCGCAUACAUUAUUGUAUGGAAGUAAAUGGUGGUCAUUUUGAACAUUUAAUAAAAUAGUUAUUUAAAGUUUGUAGUUAUUUCUUAUUUGUUGUUAGUUAUUUUAAUUUUAUUUGUUUAUUUUGAGUUUUGUAGAUACCCUUAGUCAUCUUAUUACAGAUAUAAACAUGGACGGAUUUACGGAGGUGCCUGGCACCCCCUGAUUUUUCAAGAUUUUUUUUUCAAAUUUCUAUCAUAUUUUUGUAAUAAUGUUUUUGUUUUGGAUUAAAAUAUUUAUUUAGGACAAUAUACUUUUUUAACAAGUAAACUCAGCAACUUAGUGUCUGUAUUCGGUAUUUUUGCUAUAAUGAAAUUAAAGAAAGGCUAAUUUCUAUGAAACAUGUUUCACUCACACGGGAUGCUAACAGUCUGUCUCAAAUUAUUUUAGAUUCUUUAAGUAAUAUGGGAAUCGCUGCUACUUUGGUUGAACACAAGAAUAGUUCACCAAUAGGAUUGAUCAAUCCCAUAAGACGUACAUACGCCAAUUCUUGAGCCAAGGGUAGGGUAGGUAAAAAUGUUUUGUUAUAUUAAAGCUGGAUUUAAAUAGCAAAAUAAAAAUUAAAAUCCAAGUCAGUUACUGGCUGAAAGAAAACCAGCUGAGCAGAAAUGACAAUUUAAUUGGCUUAUUUAAAUUUCUAUUCUUUAUACACCACAAUAAAAAAUUAAAAAAAUGGGCGAAUCAUAACAGCGUUUUUGGUCGGUUGGUUUGCAUUUGUCCAGCAACUAAUCUAGAUUUUUAUUUUACUUUUUUUUGCUAAAUGAAACUUUGUUUGUUUGAUUUUAGUGCAUGUAGUAUAUGUCCAAAAAUCAAAAUGCCUGGUACACGUUGUGCUGUGUAUGGUUGUGGUAAUACCUAUAAAAUAAGGCAGCAAGAACAUGAAUAUUUUAUAUUUCAUCGGUUUCCCAAAGCUAAAGAUCUUGUUUCCCAAACUAUGAGAAAAGAAUGGAUAUUACGAUGCAAACGGGAAGAUAAAUUUAACCCUGAUACUAGCUACAUCUGCUCAGUUCAUUUCACAGAAAAGGAUUAUGAAAGAGACUUACAGAAUGAAUUAUUAGGUUGGUGAAUUAUUUAAUUGUUUAGUGUAAUAGUUUAUAGCUUUCAAAGUCUAUACUGUCCCAAAAUGAUUUUGGUAAUAAAAUUUAGUAACUCAAUUUGUUCAUAAAUAUAUAUAAUAUGUAUAUGUAUUUUAGGUUUACCACUACGAAAAAUAUUGAAAAAAACCGCUGUUCCUACUUUGGGAUUGUAUUCAAAAAAAUCAACAAGUGAAGCUAGUAGUUCAAGCAUCAGUUCCAGAGAAGAAAGACUGGCCAAACGAAAUGCAAAGGAGGAAGUGAACCAACUUUUAAAAGUAGCCACGUUAACAGCUCCUAUUAAUACUUUUUCUGAUGAUACCGAAGACCAUAAUCCUAAAUCUUUUGGAAGUAUUCAGUUUGAAGAGCAUGUAUCAGAG